rnacentral:rRNA from 1 species
GAUGAACGCUGGCGGCGUGCCUAAUACAUGCAAGUCGAGCGAACAGAUGAGGAGCUUGCUCCUCUGACGUUAGCGGCGGACGGGUGAGUAACACGUGGAUAACCUACCUAUAAGACUGGGAUAACUUCGGGAAACCGGAGCUAAUACCGGAUAAUAUAUUGAACCGCAUGGUUCAAUAGUGAAAGACGGUUUUGCUGUCACUUAUAGAUGGAUCCGCGCCGCAUUAGCUAGUUGGUAAGGUAACGGCUUACCAAGGCAACGAUGCGUAGCCGACCUGAGAGGGUGAUCGGCCACACUGGAACUGAGACACGGUCCAGACUCCUACGGGAGGCAGCAGUAGGGAAUCUUCCGCAAUGGGCGAAAGCCUGACGGAGCAACGCCGCGUGAGUGAUGAAGGUCUUCGGAUCGUAAAACUCUGUUAUUAGGGAAGAACAAAUGUGUAAGUAACUAUUCACGUCUUGACGGUACCUAAUCAGAAAGCCACGGCUAACUACGUG